GUCUUUUGUCCAGGAGAAUUAGCUAUUAUUUGCUUUGAGUGAGCAAUGGGGGAGACUGAGCAAUGGGAACAGGGCCUCCUGGUCAGAAAGGCAACUGCCUAGGUCUUAGGACAGUUCCAGAAGGAAGUCCACCCUGUCCAUGAGUACUAACCUGUUUGCUAACAACCAAACUCACGUUGCUUGGGACUCUGCGUUCUGCCACUCCCCUUCUGGGAACAGAGAUACACUAUCUGCAUAAGAAGGCAUCCUCUGAGAUAACUACCAUACCAUCAGGCCCCAUGUCCACAAUCGCUAACACAGAUUUGAAUCCUCUUUAUGCCGCCGACAUCUGAAAACCCAGGAUCCAACUAGAAGCACUCUUAAACUCCCAAAAUGUCACAAGUCAUGUCUCAUUGACUGGUGCCCUGGAUCAGUUAAGUGGGCCCACUCCCAAAUUCCUCCUUACAGCAAGCAUGCAGAGCUCUGAAAAAAUUGGGUGGUGGCAGUGAUGGAAACUGGGGCUGACCUGGCAGCCACCUGCUUGCUUUGUCAUGGAAGAUACAUCACACUCUCCUCCCUGCAAAAGGGCCUGGCCUUUUAAACAGCCUGGCAUGGCAAACCUUUCACCUCGUUCUUACCUGCCAGGACCAUCUGUUAUGGGAACAUGAAACCAACUGAGACUUUGCAUAGCCUCACAAACCUUAUGCAUGCGGCCUAACAUGAAGAAGCUACUUCUAUUUUAGUAGCACUAGCCCAACUCUGAUAAUUAUGACAUUUUUGUCUCUGCUGUAAUAUGAGAAAGCUGUGUCCAACCCAUUCUUCUCUAAGGUCAAACCACUUCCUUCAUUCCCUCCUUCCAAACCCCAAGUUCUUAGGUAGGUGGGGAUGGUCAUGCCAUUGCACAUUUUCUCUUCUUUGCCCCAUCCUCCUCUUACACCCACCCACCCACCAUAAUGCACAAAUCCUGGGGACACAGAUAUGCUUCCUGGAAAGGCUGAGCAAGUGGGCAUGUGAGAGAGAUGGAAACACACAAACAAAAAGGACAAAAAGCAAAAGUGUUGACCCCUAAGGUGGGGGAAAUCCAUAAUUCACAUUAGGCCAACAGAAGAGGUAAUAACAGGGCAAGAUAGAGAGAAGGUGCCUCAUAACCGCCCCAAACCUUUAAGGUAGGCCUGUCAUCCCCACAAACACUUGCCCUUACACAUGCUUUCUGACCUCUCCAGCAACCACCAAAUAGCAGUGCGAGACCCUUCAGGUAUGUGGAAACCUGGGCAUAUCUGAACAAGUGAGAAUGGAAAAUCAUGUGGGAAAUGGUGGCCGACAUGGGUGGCUAAAUGCAGACGAUGCGGUAAAUACGAGCAUAUGGUGUUGAAGGCAAGGGCGUGGGGUGGGACGGCAUAGAAAGUUGUAUGGGAAUCACCGGAUGUGUAAGGCUGAAGAAUGAUGGAAAAGCGAGUGGGCGGGGGAAUACAGAGCUGGGCUGGAAGUUGCCUAUCAGGAGCAGAAAUAGAUCAGUGCCUAUAAAGGGUGAUGAAUGGAUGAGGAAGCCAGUAGGGGAGAUGGAUGAAUGGGGAGAGAUGAAGGGCAGGCGGUGUAUUGCAAGACAUGGAUGGGUGUGCAUUAGAAAAAAGGGUGGCAAUAAGAAGCUGGCUGAGUUAAGUAGAGCGAUGGGUAGGAUAUCUAUAUAUCUGGACAGGUGGGGAAACAGAUCACAGGGUGCCAUUGUGCGUUUUUGACAUGGUGCAGGAUUCAAAACACACAGAGACCGGUCCAGACCAGCCGUUUAUACCACAGUGGUUUGUAUUCAAAGGGCCUUUUUCAUGACCUCAUUCGCACCGAAAGGACGGAAGAAUCCCCACCCUCCACCAUGCCCCUCAAACCACAGCUCAGAGAGGCUCAGUCCCUGAGCAACUACAGUAUUGCAAAGAGAAACAUUUGCCAGUUUAUUUGAAUGCAGGCUUCCACCUUCCUAACACAGAGGAUAUGGGGGGAGAGACCAAGGUUGCGAUAUCCACAAAGUGGGGAAAGGGGAGGGCAAGGGGGGGCAGAAAAGUAAAGGGAUAAGGAGCAAGGAAGGAAAAUAGCUAGUGAUGGGACCACUGCAAUAAGCUCCCCUCCCCCAUCUGUCCCUGCUGUGCUGCAAUUCCCUCCCUGCUCUCGGUCUCUCUCUUACACACACACACACACACACACACACACACCGCCUUAGAGCUGGUUGGGAGGUCAAGUUCUUAAGAGGAUUCUGGCUCUAACACAGGCAGUGAAAGUACAUGGGGGUGGUGGCAUAGGGGCUGUAGGAGACUGCAUGCUUGUGUGCACAAAAGACCGGCUGUGCAGGCGUGCUCCGCUAGGUGAACACGGCCUCCCUGAGCAUGCAGCACCUUUGCACAUCAUACUGCCGUGCCCGUUCACACGCAUAUCUUCUCCCAGAGCUCUACAAUUAGCCAAACAUAGAUAAGAUACACAAGGGUGUCCUGGGCAUAGCCCCCUCCCCUCCCCUGCCAACUAAAUCAUAAUUUCACUGGGCUAAGAUUUGGGAUCAAAGCUUUUAGCUACAACCCAGCACAAAAAAGCACCCUAGUCAAAUUGCAUGUUCAAGCAGAAAAACAGGGACACACACACGCACUUAAAUUAAAAAACUAUGGACAAAUACAGCCCCCUCUAAGCCAGAAAGGGAGAACAGAUCAGGACCACCACCCCAAGCCCACUUAUCAUCACCAUCCAAAACACCUUUACUUGGGCUGUUAAGAAAGUAGGUCACAACUGAGGGGGUGGGGAGGGGGGCAGUGGUGAAAUCACCAGGCAGCAGUCUUCCCCACAAACCAGACACCUCAAAGUCUCCCCCACCAGUCCACAGCCCCAUCUUAUAAGGUCUGAUACCUUUCUGAGGCAACUAGCUAGCUAGUUGCCGCUCUGUUUUUGUUCUCAAAUGUGUCCAUUAUAGUGAGAGUUCCCGAUUAUUGAUAAGUCAGGUAUUCCCAUAACUCUUGGAGGCCGUGCAUGUGAAAUUUCAGAUGCAUCCUUAUCCCCAUGGAAAACUUAUCUGCUGAUUCAUAGCACUGGGGUGAUGGUUGCAUUUAAUUCAAACUAAGCGUUGCUCCUCGUUAUAUUACAGACCAUUAUAAUGUGCUUUACCCACUGCAUUAAGGUUUGGUUCCUACCGGUGGGAAGGGCCCAGUCCUCGCCUAAGGGGAGCAGGUAUGAUUUCUGGGGUAUGAAGGCACAUCUCUUGUGUUACAGGCUGGUUGGUGCCUGCGCAAAAGAGACGUGGAAGUAACCACAAGGGGCCUGGGAUCUAUGCUGUGUUGGAAUUUGUGGGAUGGUGUCAUAUUCAGAGGUGAGUGAAUAGAAAGAUAUAUAGGGGAAGAAGGUGCACUUGUGCAGUGUAUAUGGAAGAGAGAGUACACAUGCAUCUGCAUAUUGAGCAAUGAACUUAGGUAAUUGUUGUAGAAUAAUGCAUGAUUCUUCAUAAUUUGUGUCUGUGUGUGUGUGCUGGACGUGCCCCCACUGCUCCUAGUGUUAUUCUACACAGAGGCGGCUGCAAUAUAUGUCAGAGAGUGGGGAGCCAAAAGGCUAUGCCCCCCACUCCCAAGAUGCUGCCCCACCCUGGAACAUCUUAGCAGAGGCUGUUUGUGUGCACUCACGCAUGCACGGAUGCAGCGACACCUUUGAUGAGGAACAUAUGCAUCUGCUUCCCUGGACUGCGGAGGUGGUUCUGAACACGUGUUAACUUUUUCUGGCGUGCUGCUACACAAACUAUAGUGCAAACACGUGCACACACAUUCAUGACUGUGUUGCACGAGUGGUAUAUGGAUUUGUCUCUAUGCACUGUACAGCGAGACUGAGAGAGGGGGAGGGGUGUUUUCACGCAUGGAGAGCCGUAAGGCUGUGUUAUAUAAGGAUGUGAGCCGAGGAUUCCCAGUUUGCAGCAGCUUCCCCAAGCACCACAGAGGCGUGCCCCACUCCUUGCCUGUAGCCCCCUAGACCCCACUCCCCUCCUAGGCCAACUGAUUUAUGCUCACGCAAAGCGCUGCCAAUGAAUGGAGGCUGCGCUGGGAGAGACCCCUGACCUCGCCCAUGACCUCUGACCCUGUCUGGCUUCACAGACAGGCUGCAGCUGGGUCUCUCCCCCUUGACCCUUUAAUUCCAGACCCGCCCUUCCCCACCAAGGAGACUGCCAGACAUUAACCCUGUGAGUGCCACAGCUCUCAAAAGAGCAGCCAACUCGGCUAGGAUUGUGGGGUGGGUGGGUGGAGGGGGGUUCUUGUACCUGAUCCUGCCAAGAUGGAAAGAGGUGUGAUUUUCGGAAUAGAGGGAGAGGGAAGAGGAGUCUGGAAUCCUAGCUGCCACCCUUGCUCUAAAUUCAUCUUUACUUCUCCAAAUCCUCAGUCAACCUAUUUCAGCAGAUCAUGCAAACCACCUCCAAAUGAAAGAGUGUUUCCAGCUCUAUCCCAAAGACAUGCUCUCCUGCUCUCAACCCCACCCCUUCCCGAAUCUCAGCAGAAUAACAUUUACACUCUGCAAGUUCCAAGUCAAAAGGGGGGGGGCACGGAAGGGAGACGCUGUUCAAACCCUGAAAAUGCCCCAUCUCCCUUCUCCCGCCUCAACACCAAGCUGUACUCGGUGCUUUCCCUGGGCUCCUCCUACUCUCGUGUUGCAUUGCCCUCCCCACCCCUAAACGUUAGCGGGGAGGGGGGCACACACACACACACCCCUUCAGCUCCAUGGAUGCCCCAAACCUCCCACAAUGCCCUCCUCCCCUGCUCCACGGAGGACAGGUUAGGGGCUGCAAGCAGAAGCAAAAUGUAGAGUCAUGGGGGGGGGGGGAGGCAAGCUCUUUGGGCCCCCCUCCCCCAUUCCUGCCUGCAACUGCAGAGAGGUGCAUCUUGGGAUGAAUAAAUUAUAUGGGCAGUGGAAUGGCAGAAUUCAGGGACAGACGAAAGAGAGCGAGGGGGAGAGGCAAGCAAAACCAGGCAGGGUGGCAGGGAAGAGAGAAUUGCUGCUGUCUCCCAAGGAGGUUGCCUGGAUUUGUGUUCCUCCCCCACCCCCAGAUGCCAAGACCCCAAACCUUCGCCCAAGAUGCCCAAUGCGUAACUGGAAAACAAUUCAUGAUCUCCGGAUCUGAUUCGCCUGCAGCCACCUUACACAAAUCCUACAGGCCCCACUUCCAAGGCAAUCUUCCGCUCCACCCCCCCCCCACUUCAAGAUCCCCGCUCCCCAUUAAAGGAGCGCCUCAAUCCACAGCCUGCUUGCUCCAACCCACUUUGCACUUUUCUUCCGGCUCCCAGGAAAGGAACCCAAGUGUCCUGACAGUCGCUUUUCCUUUUGAUUUUGUAGAAAAGCCUCCACCCCUCCCCUCGAAAUAUGUGCAUUAAUGUGUGUGUGGGGGGGGGAGAAACAUCUGAAAGGGGUCCCCUUCGCAAUGCUUAUUGCAACGCACAGUACCAAUCCUAGGAAAGAUGACAGAAAAGAGGCGGGCGGGGGGAAAGAGGAAAGUAUCAAGGGGAUUCUACGAUUCUUAUGCUGCAGCCCAACUCUUAGGAGCAAGCCCCCGUGAAGUGUAGGGCUUGCUUUCGAGUAAACACGGGGCUCGCACUGCCUUCCCCCCACUUUGCGCUCGAGGGCAGAACCCUCCUGCAAAAGGAACCCUCCUAUCUUUUCCAAGCGGCCCCAGCGCCUCAACUUCCUUCCUUCGGAGCAGCCUCCCAUUGCAGCGCCCCUCACCCCGCCCUGCCGACCUACCUGAUCCUCGGGGGGGAAGGGAGGGGGCUUGCGGUGAUCCUCUCUUUCCCCAGUUAAGAGCUCCCACAAAGUGGGCGCGCGGGGUGGAGGGGGAAAGCGAUCCAGACGAACAAAGAACGCGCAUCUUACAAGGUGGAUGGGGAGGGAAGUUGCCUGCCAUUCUCUUGCCGACCCCUCUGCUCUGAUUUGGUGGUGUGGGGGGAGAGUAGGAACCCCUCCUCCUUCUCCUCCCAGGCUCCUGGUUCCCCUCUCUCCGAACUUGACCUCCAGUCCAAUCUGCUUCUCUUUCGUGUGCGCGCGUGUGUGCCCCCCCUCUCUUUUUUUUUCCAGGCUUCUGCACAGG